rnacentral:misc_RNA from 1 species
CAGGACGUCAUACUCCCGUAAUACCACUGUGAAUCUUACCUACCGUCGUUGCCUCGGCGGGGUCUGUCCCUUCGGGGGCGCCCGCCGGUGGCCCGCAUACUCUGUCUCAGCGUGUUGGCAUCUCCGAGUACAAUACAAACGAGUCA